CCUACGGGAGGCAGCAGUGGGGAAUAUUGGACAAUGGGGGCAACCCUGAUCCAGCCAUGCCGCGUGUGUGAAGAAGGCCCUCGGGUUGUAAAGCACUUUCAGUGAGGAAGAACGCCUGGUGGUUAAUACCCAUCAGGAAAGACAUCACUCACAGAAGAAGCACCGGCUAACUCCGUGCCAGCAGCCGCGGUAAUACGGAGGGUGCGAGCGUUAAUCGGAAUUACAGGGCGUAAAGCGCGCGUAGGUGGCUUGAUAAGCCGGUUGUGAAAGCCCCGGGCUCAACCUGGGAACGGCAUCCGGAACUGUCAAGCUAGAGUGCAGGAGAGGAAGGUAGAAUUCCCGGUGUAGCGGUGAAAUGCGUAGAGAUCGGGAGGAAUACCAGUGGCGAAGGCGGCCUUCUGGACUGACACUGACACUGAGGUGCGAAAGCGUGGGUAGCAAACAGGAUUAGAUACCCGAGUAGUC
rnacentral:rRNA from 1 species